CUAACGAGGAUUUCCCCAGUAACGGCGAGUGAAAAGGAAAGAGCCCAACGCUGAAUCCAAUAGAUGUCUUCAUGCUAUAUGGAAAUGUAGCGUAUAGGUGCAAUUAAUCAUAGCAUAUUUUCACACCCAAAGUCCCCUUGAGCGGGGCUACAGUCCAUAGAAGGUGCUAGACCUGUACGGGUGAAAAAGAGAGUUGUGAUGGGUUGUACUUUAGAGUCGGGUUGUUUGAGAUUGCAGCCCAAAGAGGGUGGYAAACCUCAUCUAAGGCUAAAUACGACCACGAGACCGAUAGCAAACAAGUACCGAGAGGGAAAGUUGCAAAGAACUUUGAAGAGAGAGUUCAAGAGGGCGUGAAACCGCUGGGAUGGAAACAGAUAGAGUUGACGAAACUUAUCGGUAUUCAACCAAUCAAUUUACCAAGUCUUGCAUUAUUUUCACAUWUUUUCUUCCAKUUUAUGCUUACCAUAUUAUGGAACGGAAGAAKGKGAGGAAAUGAUGUCAAGAUUGUGAGUGCUAAAUUUUGAGAUAGAUUGGUGUAUUUGCCGAURGUAUGCAUCGAGAGCUUCAUUUUAUAGCAUAUUUKAAAGUGAUUGUAUUUAGUGGACUAAUUAUUACAUUUUCAAUAAUUAGAAUCCUAAAUAAUACUUGAAAUAUGUCUUAGAUGAAGUUUSUUUGCUCCCAAUUUCACGUAACUCUCACUUGCAAUAAUAGAGACAUUGCAUUGAUUAUAAUUUUUAACUAAUUAUUUAYUAAUAUGUGGUCGCAUGUCGACUUAUCAAUUAAUUUAUAAUUMGUAAUAUUAUAAUAUUGUUUAUACACUAAUUGAGUUACAUCUCGAUGUGAGCGUUAAUCACCUAUCUGACCCGUCUUGAAACACGGACCAAGGAGU
rnacentral:rRNA from 1 species